GAUCAUGGCUCAGGACGAACGCUGGCGUCGUGCUUAACACAUGCAAGUCGAACGAAAAGACGGAAAGAGCUUGCUCUUUUCAGAAUUGAGUGGCAAACGGGUGAGUAACACGUAAACAACCUGCCUUCAGGAUGGGGACGAACAGACGGAAACGACUGCUAAUACCGAAUAAGUUCCAAGAGCCGCAUGGCCCAUGGAAGAAAAGGUGGCCUCUACCUGUAAGCUAUCGCCUGAAGAGGGGUUUGCGU
rnacentral:rRNA from 1 species